rnacentral:rRNA from 1 species
AGUGAACGCUGGCGGUAGGCCUAACACAUGCAAGUCGAACGGCAGCACAGUAAGAGCUUGCUCUUACGGGUGGCGAGUGGCGGACGGGUGAGGAAUACAUCGGAAUCUACUUUUUCGUGGGGGAUAACGUAGGGAAACUUACGCUAAUACCGCAUACGACCUACGGGUGAAAGCAGGGGUUCUUCGGACCUUGCGCGAUUGAAUGAGCCGAUGUCGGAUUAGCUAGUUGGCGGGGUAAAGGCCUACCAAGGCGACGAUCCGUAGCUGGUCUGAGAGGAUGAUCGGCGACACUGGAGCGGAGACGCGGUCCAGACUCCUACGGGAGGCAGCAGUGGGGAAGAAUGGACAAUGGGGGGAAGCAGGAUCCAGCCAUGCCGCGGGGGUGAAGAAGGCCUUCGGGUUGUAGAGCCCUUUUGUUGGGAGAGAAAAGCAGCUGGUUAAUACGCCGCUGUGCUGACGGUACCCAAAGAAGAAGCACCGGCUAACUUCGUG